AUUGAACGCUGGCGGCAGGCUUAACACAUGCAAGUCGAACGAGUGGCGGACGGGUGAGUAAUGCUUGGGAAUCUGGCUUAUGGAGGGGGAUAACGACGGGAAACUGUCGCUAAUACCGCGUACCAUAGGAUGAGCCCAAGUGGGAUUAGGUAGUGGGUGGGGUAAUGGCAUACCAAGCCGACGAUCUCUAGCUGUUCUGAGAGGAUGACCAGCCACACUGUAACUGGGACACGGCCCUGACUCCUCCGUGAGGCAGAAUUGGGGAAUAUUGCUCAAAGGGGGCAACCUGACGCAGCCAUGCCGCGUGAAUGAAGAAGGCCGUCGGGUUGUAAAGUUCUUUAUGUGAGGAGGCGUUAAUCACAGAAGAAGCACCGGCUAACUCCUUGCCAGCAGCCGCGGUAAUAC
rnacentral:rRNA from 1 species